rnacentral:rRNA from 1 species
GAUUCAUGAUAACUUUACGAAUCGCAUGGCCUUGUGCCGGCGAUGGUUCAUUCAAAUUUCUGCCCUAUCAACUUUCGAUGGUAGGAUAGUGGCCUACCAUGGUUUCAACGGGUAACGGGGAAUUAGGGUUCUAUUCCGGAGAGGGAGCCUGAGAAACGGCUACCACAUCCAAGGAAGGCAGCAGGCGCGCAAAUUACCCAAUCCCGACACGGGGAGGUAGUGACAAUAAAUACUGAUACAGGGCCCUUAUGGGUCUUGUAAUUGGAAUGAGUACAAUUUAAAUCCCUUAACGAGGAACAAUUGGAGGGCAAGUCUGGUGCCAGCAGCCGCGGUAAUUCCAGCUCCAAUAGCGUAUAUUAAAGUUGUUGCAGUUAAAAAGCUCGUAGUUGAACCUUGGGUCUGGGUGACCGGUCUGCCUCACCGCAUGCACUGGGAACCCGGGCCUUUCCUUCUGGCAAACCUCAUGCCCUUCACUGGGUGUGUUGGGGAACCAGGACUUUUAC